rnacentral:rRNA from 1 species
UAGUUUGAUUCUGGCUCAGGAUGCAACGUUGGCGGCGUGCCUAACACAUGCAAGUUGAGCGUGGCUCUAGUUUACUAGAGUCUAGCAGCGGACGGCUGAGUAACGCACAGGAACGUACCUCGGAGUGGGGGAUAGCCCAUCGAAAGAUGGGGUAAUACCGCAUUCGCUCGCAAGAGUAAAGCCGCAAGGCGCUUCGAGAGCGGCCUGUGUCCUAUCAGGUUGUUGGUGGGGUAAUGGCCUACCAAGCCUAUGACGGGUAGCUGGUCUGAGAGGAUGAUCAGCCAGAUCGGGACUGAGACACGGCCCGAACUCCUACGGGAGGCAGCAGUUGGGAAUAUUGCGCAAUGGGCGAAAGCCUGACGCAGCGACGCCGCGUGGAGGAUGAAGGCCUUCGGGUCGUAAACUCCUUUUGCUAGGGAGUAAUUUGUGAAAGUACCUAGCGAAUAAGCACCGGCUAACUCCGUGCCAGCAGCCGCGGUAAUACGGAGGGUGCAAACGUUAUCCGGAAUCACUGGGCGUAAAGCGCAUGUAGGUGGUUUGGUAAGUGGGCGAUUAAAGACCGAUGCUUAACAUCGGGACUGUUGCCUAUACUGCCAGACUUGAGGAAGACAGGGGCAGGCGGAACUUU